rnacentral:rRNA from 1 species
AACGCUGGCGGCAGGCUUAACACAUGCAAGUCGAGCGGAGAUGAGGUGCUUGCACCUUAUCUUAGCGGCGGACGGGUGAGUAAUGCUUAGGAAUCUGCCUAUUAGUGGGGGACAACAUUCCGAAAGGAAUGCUAAUACCGCAUACGUCCUACGGGAGAAAGCAGGGGAUCUUCGGACCUUGCGCUAAUAGAUGAGCCUAAGUCGGAUUAGCUAGUUGGUGGGGUAAAGGCCUACCAAGGCGACGAUCUGUAGCGGGUCUGAGAGGAUGAUCCGCCACACUGGGACUGAGACACGGCCCAGACUCCUACGGGAGGCAGCAGUGGGGAAUAUUGGACAAUGGGGGGAACCCUGAUCCAGCCAUGCCGCGUGUGUGAAGAAGGCCUUAUGGUUGUAAAGCACUUUAAGCGAGGAGGAGGCUACUGAGACUAAUACUCUUGGAUAGUGGACGUUACUCGCAGAAUAAGCACCGGCUAACUCUGUGCCAGCAGCCGCGGUAAU